rnacentral:rRNA from 1 species
AUUGAACGCUGGCGGCAGGCCUAACACAUGCAAGUCGAGCGGUAGAGAGAAGCUUGCUUCUCUUGAGAGCGGCGGACGGGUGAGUAAUGCCUAGGAAUCUGCCUGGUAGUGGGGGAUAACGUUCGGAAACGGACGCUAAUACCGCAUACGUCCUACGGGAGAAAGCAGGGGACCUUCGGGCCUUGCGCUAUCAGAUGAGCCUAGGUCGGAUUAGCUAGUUGGUGGGGUAAUGGCUCACCAAGGCGACGAUCCGUAACUGGUCUGAGAGGAUGAUCAGUCACACUGGAACUGAGACACGGUCCAGACUCCUACGGGAGGCAGCAGUGGGGAAUAUUGGACAAUGGGCGAAAGCCUGAUCCAGCCAUGCCGCGUGUGUGAAGAAGGUCUUCGGAUUGUAAAGCACUUUAAGUUGGGAGGAAGGGCAGUAAAUUAAUACUUUGCUGUUUUGACGUUACCGACAGAAUAAGCACCGGCUAACUCGGUG